rnacentral:rRNA from 1 species
GGUUGACCUCGGAUUAGGUAGGAAUACCCGCUGAACUUAAGCAUAUCAAAAGCCGGAGGAAA